rnacentral:rRNA from 1 species
UACGUAGGGUGCAAGCGUUAAUCGGAAUUACUGGGCGUAAAGCGUGCGCAGGCGGUGAUGUAAGACAGGUGUGAAAUCCCCGGGCUUAACCCUGGGAACUGCAUUUGUGUACUGCAUCGCUGGAGUGCGGCAGAGGGGGAUGGAAUUCCGGCGUGUAGCAGUGAAAUGCGUAGAUAAUGCGGAGGAACACCGAUGGCGAAGGCAAUCCCCUGGCCUGGCACAUGGACGCUCCAG